CAGCGAAGGUCAUGGUAGACAAUCAGUCUGCCCUGAUUCCCAAUUGCUGUUUGUAUGCUGUUAACCAGAGCUGUCAUCCUCUCCUGCAGCUGUUUCCUGCUGCUCUUUGCAGUUGUCCCUCCUGUGCCAUACUGACUCCAGUGGAGUGGGAUUGAAUUUGACAAACCAGACAUAGACCAUGAAGUUGUUUUCUCCAAGUUUGUUUGUCAACAGUCUCAGGAACCGAGGCAGAAGAAAGAUGUAACUCGCCUUCCUCAGUCCACAGAAAUGCUGCUGGAAGUGUGCAGUAGCCUCCAGGAACAGAAGGACUUCAACAGGAGAAAACAGUGCUUAAAUGGUGUGAGGUAUGUGAUGAAGUUCCCCAUGCUUACAUCCCUUCAGCAAUGUAAGCUGCACUGACUGUUGCUUUCAGGACAGGAUUUCACAAGAAUGAUGUAGAAAGGCCAGAAAGCCAACUGUAUGCUGGGCUGCCCCCAAAGCAGCGUGGGCAGCAAGUCCAGGGAGGGGAUUCUGCCCUUCUGCUCCACUCUGGUGAGACCUCUGCAGCCAGCUCUGGGACACCAACAUCAGAAGGACAUGGACCUCUUGGAGCAGGUCCAGAGGAGGCCACCAAGAUGAUCAAAGGGCUGAAGCACAUCACCUGAGGAAAGGCUGAGAGAGGAAGGAUUGUUCAUCCUGGAGAACAGAAGGCUUUGGGGAGACCUUAUAGCAAACCUUCCAGUACCUAAAGGGGCCAAGAAGAAAGCUGGAGAGGGAAUUUUACAAGAGCAUGGAGUGACAGAACAAGAGGUGAUGGCUUCAAACUAAAAGAGGGGAGAUUUAGAUUAGAGAGAAGGGAAAAGCUUGUCUCUGUGAAGGUGGUAAGGCACUGGCACAGGUUGCCCAGUGAUGGUGUGAGUGUACCAUCCCUGCAGGUGUUCAAGGGCAGGUCGGACGAGGCUUGGAACAACCUGGUCCUUGCCCACAGCAGAGGAGUUGGAAUGAGAUGAUCCUUAAGGUCCCUUUCCAACCCAAGGCACUUUAUUAUUCCAUGAUUAGUCAAGACCUUUCUAGAAAUUUAUCUGUGUAUUUUUAUGCUCUCCUGUACAUAAAUGCAGAAGGUCUGAUAGGCAUGAUAGCAUGUGGAAUGUCAGAGGGAGUUAUCUUCCUCAUCAGACUGAAGAGAUUGAUUUAAAU